rnacentral:rRNA from 1 species
GUGGGGAAUCUUAGACAAUGGGCGCAAGCCUGAUCCAGCCAUGCCGCGUGCAGGAAGACGCAUCUAUGGUGUGUAAACUGCUUUUGUACGGGAAGAAACACUCCCUCGUGAGGGAGCUUGACGGUACCGUAAGAAUAAGGAUCGGCUAACUCCGUGCCAGCAGCCGCGGUAAUACGGAGGAUCCAAGCGUUAUCCGGAAUCAUUGGGUUUAAAGGGUCCGUAGGCGGUUUAAUAAGUCAGUGGUGAAAGCCCAUCGCUCAACGAUGGAACGGCCAUUGAUACUGUUAGACUUGAAUUACAAGGAAGUAACUAGAAUAUGUAGUGUAGCGGUGAAAUGCUUAGAUAUUACAUGGAAUACCAAUUGCGAAGGCAGGUUACUACUUGUGGAUUGACGCUGAUGGACGAAAGCGUGGGGAGCGAACAGGAUUAGAAACCCGGGUAGUCC